rnacentral:rRNA from 1 species
AUGAACGCUGGCGGCGUGCCUAAUACAUGCAAGUCGAGCGAACAGACGAGGAGCUUGCUCCUCUGACGUUAGCGGCGGACGGGUGAGUAACACGUGGAUAACCUACCUAUAAGACUGGGAUAACUUCGGGAAACCGGAGCUAAUACCGGAUAAUAUAUUGAACCGCAUGGUUCAAUAGUGAAAGACGGUUUUGCUGUCACUUAUAGAUGGAUCCGCGCCGCAUUAGCUAGUUGGUAAGGUAACGGCUUACCAAGGCAACGAUGCGUAGCCGACCUGAGAGGGUGAUCGGCCACACUGGAACUGAGACACGGUCCAGACUCCUACGGGAGGCAGCAGUAGGGAAUCUUCCGCAAUGGGCGAAAGCUUGACGGAGCAACGCCGCGUGAGUGAUGAAGGUCUUCAGAUCGUAAAACUCUGUUAUUAGGGAAGAACAAAUGUGUAAGUAACUAUGCACGUCUUGACGGUACCUAAUCAGAAAGCCACGGCUAACUACGUG